rnacentral:rRNA from 1 species
AUGACCCAGUACUUGAGAUCCCAGAGAAAAGUAACAGAAGCACAUAUAGCAAAUGCCGAGGUUGCAAAGUCAGUAGGCAUUUCAAAUAAAGCAACAUUCGAUUUGAUGGCCAAGGAAGCAUGUGGAAGUGAAAACCUUGGCUUUAUACGUGAAGAUUUGAAAAAUCGUUUGUACUCAAAGAGAACAAUAAAAGCAAAGCAUGGUGACACAGGGGGAGUAUUAGAGUACAUGGAGAAGAAGGUCUCAGAAGAUGUCAACUUCUUCUAUUCAAUUCAAGUUGAUGAAGAUGAGUUGAUAACUAAUAUUUUUUGGACUGACUCGAAAAUGGUAUCAGACUACGCAUUAUUCGACGAUGUUAUAUGCUUUGACACCACAUACAGGAAACUAGAUGAUGGACGCCCAUUUGGUUUGAUUGUUGGGGUGAAUAAUCAUCAAAAAACUGUUGUCUUUGGCGCCGCACUUCUCUAUGAUGAAACUGCUGCAAGUUUUGCUUGGCUUUUCAGAACUUUCCUAAAAGUUAUGUCUAGGAAACAUCCAUGUACAAUUCUCACCGAUGAAGAUGCAGCAAUGGCAAAGGCAAUCCGUAAAGUGUUCCCUCAUUCUCACCAUAGACUUUGCGUCUGGCAUAUGAAUCAAAAUGCUUGCAAGCAUCUCGCUGGAGUUGUUGAUGAAUAUAAGAAAUUCAAUGUUGAUUUUCAACAUUGUAUAUAUGAUAUAGAAGAGGAAGAUGAAUUUGUAAGUGCAUGGAAUAAAAUGAUUGACAAGUAUGGACUAGGUGACAAUGCAUGGUUGCAAAGGCUAUUUGAGAAGAAAGAACAGUGGGCACUAGUAUAUGGUAAAAAUACGUUCUCUGCCCACAUGAGCACUACCCAAUGA